UACGUAGGGGGCAAGCGUUGUCCGGAAUCAUUGGGCGUAAAGCGCGUGUAGGCGGUUCGGUAAGUCGGCUGUGAAAGUCCAGGGCUCAACCCUGGGAUGCCGGUCGAUACUGCCGGGCUGGAGUCCGGAAGAGGCGAGUGGAAUUCCUGGUGUAGCGGUGAAAUGCGCAGAUAUCAGGAGGAACACCAAUGGCGAAGGCAGCUCGCUGGGACGGUACUGACGCUGAGACGCGAAAGCGUGGGGAGCAAACAGG
rnacentral:rRNA from 1 species